GUAGGGAAUCUUCCGCAAUGGACGAAAGUCUGACGGGGCAACGCCGCGUGAGUGAAGAAGGUUUUCGGAUCGUAAAACUCUGUUGUCAGAGAAGAACAAGUUGGAGAGUAACUGCUCCAGCCUUGACGGUAUCUGACCAGAAAGCCACGGCUAACUACGUGCCAGCAGCCGCGGUAAUACGUAGGUGGCAAGCGUUGUCCGGAUUUAUUGGGCGUAAAGCGAGCGCAGGCGGUUCCUUAAGUCUGAUGUGAAAGCCCACGGCUCAACCGUGGAAGGUCAUUGGAAACUGGGGAACUUGAGUGCAGAAGAGGAGAGUGGAAUUCCACGUGUAGCGGUGAAAUGCGUAGAUAUAUGGAGGAACACCAGUGGCGAAGGCGACUCUCUGGUCUGUAACUGACGCUGAGGCUCGAAAGCGUGGGGAGCAAACAGGAUUAGAAACCCGGGUAGUCC
rnacentral:rRNA from 1 species